AUGUUUAGAACAGAAGAUGAAGAAAUUUUCCCAUGUUUUGAUGUCUUGAAGGAGUUUUUUGUGUGUCAAGGAAUGUCUGCCUCAGAAAACCAGGCUGCUGAAAUCAGCAACGAAACUGAUGACAGGAAGGGAGACCGUCCAUGGAACAUCAUACGUAUACGUUUACCACCGAGGAAGAAGUUGCCUGACGCCUCCCUCACCCUGAGCAAGAAAGUACCUCGGAUUAACAAAACCGGAAGUAAGGAAGUACCUGAAAUGAGUAUCGACAGCCCAGGCAAGAAUCUGACAACUGCUCCAGUACUGGGUGAGGCAAGCAGCCAUUCCCCAAGAAUGGGACUGUGUAAUGAGGGCAGUAGCAACACCCUGAGCAAGACAAUGUCUGCUAAACCUGAGAGUGAUACCUCAGGCCACAAACAACCAGAUGAGGCAACUUACAGCGCCCUGAGCAAGAACCUAAGAGUCGAUGAUGAAGAGCAAGGAAGUGAUGCAAACUGUUAUGCGGCUAAACAGGGACCGUAUGAAGAGGCCAACAACAAUAUCUUGAGCAUGAUACUUCCUCUACCAGGCAAGAAUCUGAUUACUGCUCCAGUACAGGGUGAGGCAAGCAGCCACUCCCCAAGAAUGGGACUGUGUAAUGAGGGCAGUAGCAACACCCUGAGCAAGACACUGUUUGCUGAAUCUGAGAGCGAUACCUCAGGCCACAAACACCUGGAUGAGGCAACUUACAGCGCCCUGAGCAAGAACCUAAGAGUCGAUGAUGAAGAGCAAGCAAGCGAUGCAAACUGUUAUGCUGCUAAACAGGGACCGUGUGAAGAGGCCAACAACAAUAUCUUGAGCAUGAUACUUCCUCUACCAGUUCAGGAAGUACCUGAAGGUCAUAUAGACAACAGCCCAAGCAAGAAUGAUAUAGCCCCUGGAAUGCAGGGUGAUGAGGAACAUAACAACUCCCCAAGAAGGAAACUGUGCUAUGAUACUAACAACAAAGAAGAAGAUGAAGAGGGUAACAACGGAAGCUGGAACCUGACAACCACCGCUGCGAAGUAUGAGGAUGUGGUUGAAGAAGCUCACCACCCCAUUCCCACCAAAGAAAACAAUGCCCCAAGCAAUCCACCAACUGAUCCAGCCAAACAAAUUUCCCCAGUCAAGAGGCUGCCUACCUCUUCAGUACAGGCUACUGGUACUAGCCGCAGCCGGAACACCCCUGAAAUGAAGCUUUCUGCUUCUGUUUGCCAGGCUGUGGAGCAAAGUACCAAUGCUGCAAACACAGAGGUCACAACGGAGUAUCAAGAGUUUGAGGAGAAGAUCAAGCGAACUGUAUUUCUUGUCAAUCUUGACAACCUGUCUCACCAAGCUACAGAGGUUAAGAGCAACCCAAGCAGGACCCUGUCAACCACUGCUAUAGAGCGGGAGAUGUUUGAAAAUGCUAACCACACCAUUCCUAGCAAGAAGCUUUCUGAUGUGGCUAGAAACCAGGCCCUGAUCGAUAGAUCAACUGACCCAGCUAAGAAAAGAACCCCACGCAAGAAGCCACACACCUCUGCAUUACAUGCUACUGAUACCAGCCAGAAUACAUUUGGAAUGAAGCUUCCCAUUUCUGAUGGCCAGGCUGUUAAUCAAAGUAAGAGUGCUGCAGAUUUGGAUUCCGUCAAACAGUAUCCUGAGGACAACAAACUGAUUACUGACAAGCCAGGCAAGAAUUUGAUAACCACUCCAGCACAUGGUGAGGCAAGCAGCCACUCCCCAAGAGUGGGACACUGUAAUGGGGCCAAUAGCAACACCCUUAGCAAGACAUGGUCCGCUGAGUCUGAGAGCGAUACCUCAGGCAACAAACUACUGGAUGAGGCAAAUGAUAACACCCUGAGCAUGAACCUGAGAGUCGCUGCUGAAGAGCAAGGAAGUGAUCCAAGCAGUUACGCUGCUAAACAUGGAUUGUGUGAAGAGGUGAACAACAUCUCGAGCAUGAUGCUUCGUCUUCAACUUCAGGAAUUGCCUAGAGAUCAUAUCAACAACAGCCCAAGCAAGAGCCUUACAACGACUAGAAAGCAGGGUGAGGAGGAACAUAGCAACUCCCCACGAAAGAAACUGCUCUACAAUACUGACAGUAAAGUAGCAGAUGAAGAGGGUAACAACCCAAGAUGGAAUCAAACAAUCACCGCUGUGAAGUCUCAGGAGGUGUUUGAAGAAGAUAAUCAUCCCAUUCCGAGCAAGAUGCUGUCUGGUGAGGCUAAAAACAAUGGCCCAAGCAAUAGACCAACUUAUCGAGCUAACAAAAAUGCCCCACACAAGAGUUUGUGUACCGCUUCAGUACAAGCUAGAGCUACUGGUACCAGCGGGAAGACCCCUGGAAUGAAGCUUUCUGCUUCUGUUGACCAGGCUGUGGAGCAAAGUACCAGUGCUGCAAACAUGGAGGUCAUAGAGGAGCAUCAAGAGUUGGAGGAGAAGAUCAAGGAAAUUGUAUAUCUUGACAACCCCUCUCACAAGGCUACAGAGGCUAAGAGCAACCCAAGCAGGACCCUGUCAACCACUGCUAUAAAGUGUGAUGUGUUUGAACAUGCUAACCACACCAUUCCCACCAAGAAGCUGUCUGAUGUGGUUAGAAACAAGGCCCCAAGCAAAAGACCAACCGAUCCAGCUAAGAAAAUCACCCCACGCAAGAAGCCGCGCACCUCUGCAGUGCAGGCUACCGGCACCAGCCAGAAUACAUCUGGAAUGAAGCUUUCCACUUCUGAUGGCCAGGCUGCUAAUCAAAGUAAGAGUGCUGAAGAGUUGGAAACCAUAAAACAGUAUCAGGAGUUCGAGGAGAAGGUCAAACGAACUGUUUACCUUGACAAUCUAUCUCACCAGGCUACAGAGGCAGUCAUAAAAACAGCUUUGGGUCAAUUUUGUAGUAUCAGAAAGGUCAGUUUUGUUGUGAACUACACCAUUCCCUACAAUAUUCCUCAAUCUGCAUUAGUACAGAUGGAAACUGAGAAGGAUGCUGAAGUUGUGGUCAGUAUGCUGCAAGACUUCCCUUUUAUGAUCUCUGGAAUUCCAAGGCCUGUUAGGGCGAAGCAUGCUACGCCUGAGAUGUUCAAUGAUCGCCCCCGGAGACCUGGGAGUAAAUUAAAAUUUCGCUGGGUGGGCCACAGAGAUCCUGAUUAUGAGAUUCUAAAAAAAUCGAAGAUACUCUCCAGGAGACAUGAGGUGGAGAACUUUGCACUAAUUGAGCAUGAACUAGACGAGGAGAAAUCGCUAGCAGCGCAGCAGCAGGAGAAUCUGAACUGCAAUCGCAAGAUGUUGGAGACCAUGGACAGCGUCAUUCUGUCUGGCAUGACAAACUACAUUUCUAAAAUUUAUAGCGUCAAUUGGAACGAUGUGUUCUGA
rnacentral:rRNA from 1 species